rnacentral:sRNA from 1 species
AGUUGUUGAAAGUGAUACACUAACAAUUGAGUCUGGACCACUUGCUAGUGAAGAUAAACCACUUUCGUGUGGUACAAACUCUGGAAAAGAACAAGAUAAUGGAAAUAGAAGAGCAGAAGCAAAAGCAAUUGGAAUUACUUGAACAAAUUGAACAGCAGAAAUUAAGAUUAGAAAGUGACUGCUUCAGGGCUCAGCUGGAAGAAGAAAAAAGAAAAAAAA